UACGAAGGGGGCGAGCGUUUGUUCGGAUUUACUGGGCGUAAAGGGCGUGCAGGCGGUCUGUUAAGUUCAGGGUGAAAGCUCCCGGCUCAACUGGGAGAGGUCCUUGGAUACUGGCAGACUUGAGGGAGGUAGAGGAGAGUGGAAUUCCCGGUGUAGUGGUGAUAUGCGUAGAUAUCGUGAGGAAGACCAGUGGCGAAGGCGGGUCUCUGGACAGUUCCUGACGGCUGAGGCGCGAAGGCCAGGGGAGCAAACGGG
rnacentral:rRNA from 1 species